UACGUAGGGGGCAAGCGUUGUCCGGAAUCAUUGGGCGUAAAGCGCGUGUAGGCGGUCCGGUAAGUCCGCUGUGAAAGUCGGGGGCUCAACCCUCGGAUGCCGGUGGAUACUGUCGGGCUUGAGUACGGAAGAGGCGAGUGGAAUUCCGGGUGUAGUGGUGAAAUGCGUAGAGAUCCGGAGGAACACCAGUGGCGAAGGCGACACGCUGGGCCGUGCCUGACACUGAUGCGCGACAGCAUGGGGAGCAAACAGG
rnacentral:rRNA from 1 species